GAUGAACGCUAGCUACAGGCUUAACACAUGCAAGUCGAGGGGAAACGAUAGAGAAAGCUUGCUUUUUCUAGGCGUCGACCGGCGCACGGGUGAGUAACGCGUAUCCAACCUGCCCAUCACUUGGGGAUAACCUUGCGAAAGUAAGACUAAUACCCAAUGACGUCUCUAGAAGACAUCUGAAGGAGAUUAAAGAUUUAUCGGUGAUGGAUGGGGAUGCGUCUGAUUAGCUUGUUGGCGGGGUAACGGCCCACCAAGGCGACGAUCAGUAGGGGUUCUGAGAGGAAGGUCCCCCCACAUUGGAACUGAGACACGGUCCAAACUCCUACGGGAGGCAGCAGUGAGGAAUAUUGGGUCAAUGGGACGAGAGUUCUGAACCAGCCAAGUAGCGUGCAGGAUGACGGCCCUAUGGGUUGUAAACUGCUUUUAUAAGGGAAUAAAGUGAGUCUCGUGAGACUUUUUGCAUGUACCUUAUGAAUAAGGACCGGCUAAUUCCGUGCCAGCAGCC
rnacentral:rRNA from 1 species